UACGUAGGGGGCAAGCGUUGUCCGGAUUCAUUGGCGUAAAGAGCGUGUAGGCGGCCAGGUAGGUCGGUUGUGAAAACUGGAGGCUCAACCUUCAGAGGUCGACCGAAACCAUCUGGCUAGAGUCCGGGAGAGGAGAGUGGAAUUCCUGGUGUAGCGGUGAAAUGCGCAGAUAUCAGGAAGAACACCCGUGGCGAAAGCGGCUCUCUGGAACGGUACUGACGCUGAGGCGCGAAAGCUAGGGGAGCAAACGGG
rnacentral:rRNA from 1 species